rnacentral:tmRNA from 1 species
GGGGCUGAAUAGCUUCGACAAUGGCUCUUUGAAACUUAGGCAAGUCCGGCUAGCCUAACCAACCGGUUACCAGGGUAAGGCAAAUCAUAAAUGCCAACUCUUUGGCAAGCAAGGUAAAGAAUGCUUUUGCAUUCUCCCCUGCUUUGGCUGUUGCCUAAUAGGUGACAACCCAUCGACCCUGUGAUGCUUGUUCGCGGGAUCAUCGGUGUUAUAUUUCAAGCUUACAGAUGCUUGCGCCUGAAAGCAUUUGGAAAUUUAAGGCUUAUCGCAAAGCGCUUUGGUCUGCUUUUAUGCUCGGCGAGAAAUCUUAAAGCAGUCUAAACUUGUAGAUUAAAUUUCAUAACGGCUUUUGGACGGGAGUGCGAUACUCCCCAGCUCCACCA